CGGGCCUGGGGCGGAGGCUGAGGAGGAGAGCGAGAGACGUGGAGGCGGUGGCGGGCCGGCAUCUCCUCCUCCUCCUUUCUCAGCCUCCUUCCACAACCGCCGCCAUGGCAGCCACUCUCCGCCCCGCCGCCGCCUUCGUGGCCUUGCUUCUGCUGCUGGGCUGCCUCGUUGUUUCGUGGGGGGCUGAGGCCGAGCAGGAGGAGCAGGAGGGCGUCGAGGAAGAGGACCCCCACGCGCGGCACCUCUACACGGCCGAGAUGCUCCGCCACGGCGCCCUCAGCGCCCCGCACUUCGUCAUGUUCUUCGCCCCUUGGUGUGGACACUGUCAGCGUUUGCAGCCAACUUGGAAUGAACUUGCAGACAAAUACAACAGUGUGGAAAAUCCACAAGUCUACGUCGUGAAGGUGGAUUGCACUACAGAUACUCCACUAUGUUCUGAGUUUGGUGUCAAAGGAUAUCCAACUCUAAAACUACUUAGACCUGGCCAAGAAGCUGCAAAAUACCAGGGACCUAGAGAUUUUCAGUCACUGGAGAACUGGAUGCUGGAGACACUAAAAGAGGAAUCUAGUGAAGAAGAAUCUGAACCAGAGCCUCCCAAAGCCCCUGAAUCAAGGCAAGGGCUAUAUGAGAUUUCAGAAGCCAAUUUCAAACUACAUACAUCAGAAGGCAAUCACUUUAUCAAAUUCUUUGCCCCUUGGUGUGGUCACUGUAAGGCAUUGGCACCAACUUGGGAACAGUUGGCUCUUCUCCUUGAAAAUUCAGAAUCAGUCAAGGUUGGCAAGGUGGACUGCACACAGCAUUAUGAAGUCUGCUCAGCUAACCAAGUGCGUGGUUAUCCAACCCUGCUUUGGUUCAGAGAUGGAGAAAAGGUUGACCAGUAUAAAGGAAAAAGAGAUCUGGACUCUUUGAAAGAAUAUGUAGAUUCCCAGUUACAAAAUUCAAAAGAAGCCUCGGAUGAUGUUAAGCCCACUGAAGCACCACCACCACCCAGGGAGAUCACUCCUGAGGAAGAGGGCAAGGUCCUUUCGCUUUCUGAAAAAGACUUUGAUGAAGAAGUUGCUAAAGGAAUCACCUUCAUCAAGUUCUAUGCUCCAUGGUGUGGUCACUGCAAAAACCUGGCUCCUACAUGGGAAAACCUCUCAAAAAAGAAGUUUCCAGUACCUAUGGAUGUCAAGAUAGCAGAAGUAGACUGCACCGCUGAACGCAAUGUCUGCAAUAGAUUCUCUGUGCGUGGCUACCCGACACUGAUGCUUUUCCGUGGUGGGGAGAAGGUCAGCGAACACACUGGAGCCAGAGAUCUCGAAACAUUGCAUAACUUUGUUCUGCGACAAGCAAGAGAUGAACUGUAAAAAACACCCUAUUUGGUUGCAGCUUCUGUAGCUGUGUAUGUCCAGUGAAACAAGGGAGUUGACUCAUGAUAAUGUUACUGGAUUUCCAAUAAUGAUUGGAUUCUUUAUAACUGGUGAGGGCAUCACAUCUUCAGAGCAACAGGUUAGGGAAAGCUGCAUAUUGCCAUUUGUCUCAAAUGGAGGAGUUCAGCUAAUAAUAGCCAUGUCUGCAUUUUUACCUUUGUACUGUAGUUUUAUCCUUUCUAUUGGAUGCCAUGGAUUUGUUCCAGGACAAAUUUGGGGGGGAGAGGGAGAGCGAAAGAUGGAAUGUCUACCAAAGGGCUAAUCACAUAUGGCAGAUCUAUUGCAUCAACACACAUGUUUCUGCCUUAAAGGGAUCCUUUAUUCAUGAUGGCUUUUUAAAAACCUAACAAAGCACAAUCUCAUGAGCAGGCUGAGCUGUAACUCAUGAGUUUCCUGUACAAAAUCAAGUGGUACAAUUGUUUACACAAGCAAUUUCUGAAUAAAAUUAUCUUUUUUUAACAAAAA